rnacentral:lncRNA from 1 species
UUCUCUUUUGCUUAACUCUAGAGUACAAUUCAUUCUCUAUUCUCUACUCUUUCGGAGUACAAGUCUAGAAAGAAAUAUAACCAGUAUAAGGGUCGCACGUAAAAGAAGAAUUCAAAUCGCGUUGCGGGCACAUAUCAGGCCAGUGGUCAUAUGACUUCCCACAGAUUCUACAAUCCAUGAGGAUUGCACGUCCACGGGUAUGGCCGCAUUUGGCACAACAUGAGUCUCUAAACCUACAUCCGCAGACAACACACUGAACCGAACAGCCCUUGCCAAGAAUUGCAUUCUUUGGGACAUCAUACUUGUAGGGGCACAGUUGUGUAAUGUGAUCAUCCACCUUUAAACAAUACCUACAUUCACCUGUGUGCAAUUUGUCGACCCAUUGUUAUAUACAACAAAAGCAAUAAAAAUAAUUACUUAAUUUUUUAAUUUUUUUGGUUAAUGAAGAAGAUAAAUCCCAAAAAUAAGUAUUGUGAGCACAUGACAUAGAAUUAUAACGUAUACAUAGAUAUUAUGUCGUACAACGAAUACAUAGAUAUUAUAUAAUAGGAAGAGAGAAAAAAAAAUAUAUGCAUGGUGAAAUAUAUGUAUAUGCAGUAUGGAUAUUUUUUUUACAUAUAUUAUGUAUAAUCAAAAGCAUACCAAUAGGAUUAGGAAAGAGGAAGGAGGAGGGAGGUGGGAGGGCUAUCUUUUUUUUUUUUUUUACUUCUUUUCAUCUCUAGAAUCAAUAGGCCAACAAGGUUUUGCCUAGUGGAAAAAAUCCUUAAUUUGCAGACUAGUUGUCUCAAGUUCAAAGCCACAGGAUAACUCGGUAGUGUGUGUGAGACACCCACCUCCACCUUGUAGUUUAUACUAUGGCUUGUAUCAUAAAUAAAAAACAUACCGGCGGGUAUAGGAGGGUCCGGGGCCUUCAAAAAGUCAACAUUCGGUGACACGUUGUUAACAAAAUAAGUCAUAAGAUCUUCAAACCUCCUUUGCUCUGCAGUCAUUGGUGGUUUAGACUUGUUUUCUGUUUACAUGCAAUUACAUUGUUAAAUACAAAAGUAAAAAGGAAAAGAAUGGGUGAUAACGUCAAAGAAGUUGGAAGAAUGACAUUGAUCCUAUUAACAAAUAACUAUAUUAUUAAAUAUCGGGUAUUCAUCAUGCACGCACCAAAAUAACUUGACUGAAAAAGAUGAAAGUGAUUCAAAAAUUUGGGAUAAUAUAUACAUCCUCUAAUUACACCAACAAAAGUAAAACAAAAACAGCAGUUUCUUUUUUCCAAAAAAUACAAAGCCCAAUAGUUUACAGAAAAAGCCUUUGGUUCUAAUUAACCUGUUGGAUAUGUGUACAAACAAUCAAAACAAAAUCAGUUAUAGCUUAAUCUAAUGAAUUAGCAAAGGUUUCGACCAACUUCAAUUACUUCCCAAAAAUAAAAGAGACAAAAAUUUUGUUGAGAAAUACGCUUAAUUAAUGGAGCAACGAUCUUCCUCUAAAAGUAUUUUCAAAUCAAAUAGAACUAGGAUAUUGUACGGAACGAAAUUCUACCACAUAAACCAGAAAAACAUACAUACCCCUUGACUUCAAAAUUGAAUUCCAAAGCGACUCAUCGGUGUCAUAGCCGACCCUCUCUUGCGGGGAAAGGUCCUUUCCCCCGCCGCCGUCGUCCUUUGCAGAGCAGUUGUUAUCAAGCGCCAUGUGGGGAUUUUAGGGUUAGGCUUGGCGUAGAGAUGAGAUUGUAAUUACUGAGAUUAAAAAGAUGGGUGCUUGCUUAUAUAGGCGUGGACAGGGCUUUUGUUUUUUGUUUUUUUUCCUUUUCUUUUUAUUUAGACCCCAAUGCACGCAUCUGACGUCUUUAAUAGGCAUAAUGCACGUAUUAAAUGUUUUUAUUCUUUUAUCAUUAUUAUUUUUUCUCUAAAAUUGUAUACAGCAAUUUAAAUGUGUUGUGGUUUGUUUUGUUUCCUGUUUAGCCCUUGUUCUUUUUUUUCUUCCCUUUUUCUUAGUGUCGUAUGGAAGACACCUCUCGGAGGGUUUUGGGAUGCAAAAGAUGUUCCUUAUGUUUGUGAUGUUCAACGUUAUGGAUUGACUUACGUAACCAGAUCAGAAGAGUGCGUUGGAUUUGUGAAUGAAAGCGGCCGUGAAAGGGUUAUGGAAUACUUCCGCGCUUGCAGGCUGGAGAAUAAGGUCCAGAGUUCAAUUGAAUUGUCACAAAAUGUGAUAAGGGGUUUAUUAUGUGCAGCCCUUUUUGAUGAAAAUAGCGGUGGAAACUUGUGUGUGUUUGAGGUUAAAAAAAAAAAUGUUGAAGUGGUAUAUGAUCGAUCGGUUUUGGGAGCGCUUUCUGAAUAUUACAAUGACUUAGUUAGUUAUCUUUUCCACUCAUUGUUCCUUAUCGUGGAAACACAAAGAUACCCGUAUACACAUGAAAAUAAUGUGAGAUUGAACGAUAGAUUCAGAGAAAAACUUCCAAGAUAUAGAGAGAAUGUUGUGGUAAGGCGAGGAGAAAAUUAUGUUGUACGACUCGCACAUUUUGAUAACGCAGAUGAUCAACUAUAUCAGCAGCUGAGAACAGAAAAUCGUGAACGUAAUGUGACUCCUGAAACUGAAGCUGUAAUGGAAGAAUUUGGUCUGGAACAAUUUCAGCAAGAUGCUAUUUGGUUUGGUUUGCCAACAUGGAAGUUGGUGCAAGCUUUAGAUUUGUGGAAGCUUUAGAGGACGCGUAGCACCUUGGGCGUGCACUGCAAGAAUGGUAAUAUUUUGUUUAAACUAGUCAGUGAGAUAACCCAUUUAAUUUAUUUAAUUUGUUUUAAUUUGUUUACGUUUUUCUUUAAUCACCGGACAUGCAGUCCAUUUGGCUGAUUGAGCUUUUCUCAAGGCUUCUAGUAGCGUGUUCGUGUAACAUCAUACUCAUUUGGAAUUGAGAUAAUGCAUAUAUUCUUCUUAGCAUAAAAAGCUUAUUUUAAAUUUUCCUUUGGACCAAGCAAAACGACUUUACGUCGGGUUUUAGUAUGAACCUGUUAUCCGUUGUUGGCACCCUUGCUUACAGUAAUUGUUAUAGCAAUGAUAUAUCUUGGGAAGUCUUAGAUAGGAUCCACAAUAGCAAACAAGCCCUGUUUACACGAGAUAUUAAAGACAGAAAUCAGUUUUCUGCAAAACCGUGUUAAUAGCACUAAAGCACACUAGAAAAUGAACUGGUGGUAUUUAGCAAAGGCAAUAAAUCAUAUAGGAACACUCUUCGGCCAUGGAAUCAGAAUUUUACGAGAUUAUGAAAUACAUCAUACAUGCAACGUAACUGAAUAAUUGGUCAAGAUUGAAAAGCUUUGGCUGUACUGAUGAAUCUAUUAAAGUCAUUCAAUAUUUCGCUUCUUCUUCAUUGAUGCAUGGCAAGAUAAAAUAACAUGACGCUUUUUCUAAAUGAUAAAAUGAACGAGAUUUUAUUAACCACAGAGAAAGUUUUAAUCUCCCCUUGAAGCCCAUGGACAUGAUAUUAUGAUACCAAUGUUUAUCUAGCGGAUCUCAGGGAUACAAAUGAAAUUAGACGUAAGGAUCACACACAUGCUCAUGCUCAUGCACAAAGCCAUUUCUCUUUUUAAAACACAUUACCAACACAAACCUUAAGAAUUACUAUCAUCCCGACUAAAGAAUUCGGCCUUCCUCCAACUCUUCCCUCACAAGCAAAGGUUGAAGCCAAUAAGCUGCCCAGCCUGAACGAAUUUGAAUAAUCCAUGGUUAUACACACAUUAACACAAAAGAGUUUUCAAUGUUCUCGAGGACACAAAUUUUCCUAGGAAAGUUUAAUCGUGAAGCUCUAUUAUCCAACAUACUAAUCAUGUCAAUAUAUAUUUUUAACCCAAAUUAGGCUACCCCCAUUUCUUUUCUAAAUAAACAGAACAAGGAGAAUGCAGGCCCAAUUAGGCUAUCACCAUAUCUUGUAUGCAUGAACAUAACUAACAAAAAAUGAAAUUCGAAACAAGUGAAUUAUUACAUAAACAGCAGAAAACAAAAGCUAGCUCUCAAUAAGCUCACCUCGUCCACUGUUUCAAUUCCUCUCAAUCUAAGUAUCCAACUCUUCUGGCCAGGGUGUCCUCUUCCCUGCACCAGCUCAACUUCUUGAACUGUUUCUCUGCCGGAAAUUUGCUGUCUCAACUCAACCAUCUUUUUCCAGGCUGACCCAAAAAAAAAAAAAAAACAUCAAUUUACCAUCAAAAUAUAUUAUAAUCUUCAAGGACAAACAGCCUCAAAGAAUAACAUUCCAAAUCCAUUUUAAUUUUUACCUUGGAAAACCGCAGUUCAGGAAAUUCAGUGCUGGGUUACAAACGAAUCUCCCUUUCAAGCCCAUGGGCAUUGGAAACAUAGUGAAUCCUGACUCCGUCUCUGCAGUCUCAACAAUCUCUUCAGACAAUCCCUUCAGUGGCUGAAGAUGCAAAACAGACAAUCAAAUAAAUAUAUUAUACAAAGGAUUUUAAAAUCAUCAAAGGGUAUUCCACAUGUGUAUCCAGAAAGACCAAAUCCUCCAAAUGGCAUUUUCAUAAACAUUGCACAGAAUAUUUUGUCACGUAUAUAACAAUUUUUCCAACUAUAUAAUUGCUGGAGGGAACAAAGAAAAGGAAGAAAACAAGCAGUUCUCACUGCCUUGCCUAAACCUACCCCAAGCCCGAUUCCCACUUUCUUUCUUUCAUAAAAUACAAGACUCAACCCCCUGCAACGUGAAGAGGUAAAAACCUAAACAUGCCAUAAAAAAGCUGAAACUUAUUUAUGCUCCAUAUCUUCAGAUUCUAAGAAAAAUGAUACGAGCCAUAAAAAGCUUUACGCACACUCCUGAUCAAAGUCUGUCUGCUUUCAUUAUGUUUCCAGUUUGAUUUUUAUUUUUAUUUUUUUUUGGGUAGAUAGUUUUAAGUUUGAGUUUCAAAUGAAGAGGAAGAGAAUGAGAAUGCAGAGAUGGAGAGAGAAUGCUUUCGGAAAGAAAAUUUAGUUUCCCUUAAAAGACACAAGGAUAACUAACAAUUUUAUUUUUAUUCUUUAUAAGGUUAAGACUCCAUUCAUCUACCCGCCAAAAGUGCUGAAAUCUAAAGGUAUAAUAAAAUGAGUCAUAUUUUGUGUCAAAAUGUGUGUCCCCGGAUCGUGACCCAUAUAUAUAUAUGUAUAUAUAUAUAUAUGAGUUUUUGGCUCAUUGUCUGUAGCAAUGCAUACUAGUGGUAGACAAGCUGAUGGAAUGGAAUGGGCAUAUGAUUUCUGAAUUUUAUCUUGUACUAGCCUCUCCGCACUCGCUUAAUCGGGUUUCGCUCGUGAGACUCACUUGUUCGCUAUAUGAUCUACGCACACUUUCGUAUGUAUGAUCUACUCCUAACACAUGACAAUAAUUCAUCACAUACAAUUCAAGUUCCAAAGGGCACCACUAUCCACAACCAGAUAAAAUGAACAGAUUUCUCCUUAAAAUAUAGCUUAACUUGCAGAAAACGAAAAACAUAGAAAAAAGAAACCACAGAAAAUGCCCAUCAAAGAAAGAAAAAUGGUCGAGAUAUGCCAAUAAAAAAUCCAGGGAAGCAACUAAGGCUGGUCAAGCAUACAAAGAACAAAACACAACAUUUAACAUGAAGCAGCAUGAAUGAAGAAAAAUAAAUGGUUAGAACUUUCCUCUCAGUGCUUAGUUAGAAUAUGUUCAAUGUAGAUUAAGAAGAAAUAGAUAACUAACCAACUUGUACGAACAAUUUGUAGGGCUGUCCAACAAGGAAAAGAGUACAACCAAAGCAAAUGAUAUGGAUACCUUCCAUCUUCAUUCCCAAAAGAGAAACGAAAAUAGAAACGAUAUCCAAUCUCAACAGUGAACGGCUCCACGUAUGGGUGAACCCCAAGCCCAUUAACAGUUGAGAUUGGAUACAACUAUUCAAGCUGCACAACUGAACGUAUAGCAACCAUGAUAGGGGAGUAAACCUGUGAUAUCAUAUAUCAGUAAUGUAUAUCCCCACAAGAGCAUUAAGAUAAAGAAAGGUCGUGAUUUGUGACUUUGAAGGCAACAUAACUGUGUAAACAUAGAAAACAUUAUAAGCAGAUUCCAGUUGCAUGCAUCAGCAUCAUAUGCAAUUUGAACCAGUGGCUAUAAUUACCAUCAAGAAUGGUACAGAGACAUACCAAGGGGUGCGUACGUUUCUUCUCAAUAGGGUACUCAUAUGGGUUAGGGGUUUGCAUGGAGAAUGCAGUAAACCACAGGAUGAAGCCAGACAAAAGAUCGAGCAAUGACUCCAACAUGGAUGUGAUGAUGGCUAAAGAACCACUUCUGAGAGAUGCAUGAACUUUAGCUGCAAAAAGAACCAUAUUUGAUAUUCUGAUGGCACGUGUCUCACUUUUUGCCAACUUUUCCUGCUCUUCCUGCAACAUAAGUUGUUAUCUAUCAGUUUAAAAGUGAUUUGAGUGUACUGAUAUUGUUUACAGAGACAGAGAACAUGAUGCAAUAUAAAUCCUUUGGCAUUCCAGGAAUAAAACCACCCUCCGCUAAGGCAUCUAUUUCGGUAAAGCCCUCGAGCAUUUCUACCUGUUGUUGGCAGUACUCGGGCACAUUAUCUUCCUGGCCUGAGGCCAUCAAGCAGAACAAUUAACAUGGUACCUGUUGAAGCUCCUCAUAUGCUAAUUGCAUAAAGAAUAAUUAACAUUUGCAUAUAUUCCCUUUGUCCCUUUCACCCUUCACAUAGAGGAUGAAAAUAUGAAACCCUGUUUCACCCUUUACACAGACGAUGAAACUAUAAACUAAUACAGUAAAUACUCAUACUCCAACCACAACCAGAAAAUGAGAUAUUUAUCAGAUCGUCAAAGUCAACUCGAUGAUACGGAAAAAAAAAAAAAAAAAGUUGCAAGUGAACUUACACUCUGACAGUCAAUCCUGGAGAUCAUUCAAUACAGGGGGCAGCACAAGUAAGGAACCCAACAAUCCUACAGGGUCCCUUCCAUUAAGAAAACUAAAGACACUGCAUAACACAGAGCACAUUAAAAACCCAUAAACUAUAAACAAAAUGUUUCUAAUUCACCAGGACUCUCCCACAAAUGUUUUUAAUUCACCUCCACUUUAAGCUUUUCGAUUACAUUUUUAAUAUGGCAAAUUGUAUCCUCCACACCCUUUGGAAUCGCAAAUAUAUUCAUAUGUAAGAAAAAGAAAAAUUAAAAUCUCACCACCAAAAUGAAUCCAACUUGUUUAAUUCAUUAACAAAAACAAAACAAAACAAAAAGUGAGCUAACAAAACACGAAAAAUUCUGGGAGACCAAAGCACGCAACAGAAUAUUGGCAUUUGAGUUGAGACCACAAAAAAGAAAAAACAAAGACCAUCACAACAAAUAUAUCAUUCCUUUAACAAUGAAGGUGAAGAUGCGAAAUUACCUAAAACUCCCCAGGCAGUCAUGGAGGCCACGGGGAAGUCUUUUCUCCCUGUGCUCUUUGAGGACACCUGGAAACCUUCGAAGUUAAAUCGCCAUGACCCGUCAACAUUGCCCGACUCUCUCCUCGUCGUAGUCUGGCGUCACCGGCUCCACCAAUUCCUGGUUGCUGGGAGAGUGAGAGACAAGGAAACUAGGGGGAGAGAAGUAGUGUCGGAUGAGCAGCGGAGCAUUGAGGGUAGGAACUGAAAAUUUGAAGAGACUCGGAGGGCUUUUUGGGGAUAUACAGAAUCGCUUUCUAGGACUCUGUUGUGGAGCGCAAAGCGCCAAGACUAUAAUGAGUGGAAAGUUAUAAGGGGUAAGUUAUAAGGGGUUCACUUUAUAGCCAUCAGAUUAAUUCAAGGGCUGGGGAGAAUUGAGUUAAAGUUUCACAAUUGGGUAGGUAAGGAACCCAAACCCGAAUUGAAUAUCCAGCACGUCCAAAAAGAAGAAGAAGAGGGAAACACGUUCGAAAAAGAAGAAGAAGAGGCAAGUUCGAAGUUUGAACAGAAAGAACUCAUCUCUCUAAAACACAGAGGUCUGAGAUACCCAAUGAAGGCAACGGCUAACGACAGUUGAAGGCAACGAUUCGCCACUCCGUUCUCCAGACCCCGAGAAAGUAUUUAUUUGGAGUAGAAGGGGCAAAGGUGUGGAUUCCAAAUCAGUGAAGAGGCGAAGCAGUGGAAGGGGAAGGGGAGAAGCUGUAUUCGUUGGAAGUGGUAGGUUCCAUUUGUGGAGCAAAGAAACAGAAAGACCCCACACAGACACCUUGCAAUAACCAGCAUUUGGUGAGUAAUUUAUGGAAUUUGAGUUUAGGGUUAGAGUAAUGGUUUUCCCCAAUUUGUACCAUAAAUUUUGUUGGAUUUGGCAUCUCUUCGUUGUGCUUCAGUUGCAUGUUAAUUUUUGCUUAGGUAUAUGUUAAAAAAAGAAUGAAAAUCAAGUCAAUAACAAGUGAAUAACAUGUCAAUAAUGAUAUGAAUAAGAUAAUGGUGUUGAAUUGGAGGAGGCCCUCAAAACCUUCCACAUUUGAAGCAGUGCAUAGUGCAGAUUAAGAAGAGGCGCUAGAAUAUAUAUAUAUAUUUUUUAUGAAGUAAAUAUGAUUUCCUUUGUUACUAAAUUUGCCUGAGAAACAUUUGAACAGAUAAUAAUAAACUCAUGAAUAGAACUGCAAAGCAUUUGAUGAGUAAUGUAAGGAAUUUGAGUUUAGGGUUAGAGUAAUGGUUUUCCCCAAUUUGUACCAUCAAUGUUGUUGGAUUUGGCAUCUCUUAUUUGUGCUUCAAUUGCAUGUUAAUUUUUGCUUGGGUAUAUGUUAAAAAACGAAUGAAAAUAAAGUCAAUCACAUGUCAAUAACAUCUCAAAACCUUCCACAUUUGAAGCAGUGCAGAGUGAAGAGUACCUCUCUGGCACUAGAAUUUAUAUAUUUUGUGAAAUAAAUAUUAUUUCAUUUGUUACUAAAUUUGCCUAUGAGAAAUGAGAACAGAUAAUAAUAAACUCAUGAAUAAAAGUGCAAAGCAUUUGAAAUGAAGGUUGAUCUAUGACGAUUGUGGGUGACUGAAGAAAAAGGUAGAAAGAAAGAAGGAUGUGGCAAUUGCUUAGCAAGCAGAUAGCAGAGUACAUGCUUUGCUUUGCUUCCUUCCACUAUAUUUCUUAUUUAUUUAUUUUGGGUUGUGUAUGAGAUGACAAUAAUUGUCAUGUGUGUGAAGUGCAGAACUUGCCUACAUUGCACUCACACGAGUAUGGAUCCAUAAAUAAAACACGUGAAAUUGUUUGUAAUUCACAUAAUCAUUGCAUUAACAGGUAUUUGCACAAAAAUUGUCAUAUUUCUUUGAUGAUGUUAAAGCCUGUGAUGAGUAAUCCCUAUGCUCAUGUACUUUGUAAAAGUUGUAAUGUGCCUGGUUGACUAGUUGUGAUUGUGCAAAUACGUGGUAGUAUAUAUGUUCACGUUAUUUCACAUUGUAUUUGAGGAAAUGGGAUCCAACGUGGAGCUGGUAUGGCCAGAGGCAGAGGUAUAUUCGUCACGGGUGAACAACUGCUCACAUGCAAAUUCAUCUCUAGCUGCAAUUCGAGCGAAGUUGAGUGCGGAACAAUUAGAACAAUUCAAGACAUCAUGCUUUGGCCAUCUUCUGAAUAUAGAUAAGAUUCAGUUUAGCGGACAGAUUGUGCAUGGGGUUGUGUUGCGUAGAGUAGCGGGGCAGGGUGUGAAAGACUUGGAUGGACUGAGUUUCUUAUUAGGGUGUGACGUUGCUCAGUUCACUCGUCAGGAUUUCUGUUUGAUCACAGGGCUUCGUUUUGGGGAAGUGCCUGAAGUUUCCAGUGGAGAGAGUAAUGAAAUCAGACUUCAGAAAAGAUAUUUUAUAGACGAAGGAAUUACAUGCAAUGCUUUAGAAGAAGCAUUUGUGAGGUGCACAGAGGAAGAUGACAUCUACAAGCUAGCUCUUGUUUACUUUGCUGAGUUAGUGGUUUUGGGAAGGGACAGACAUUUGAACAUCAAUCUAAAUUACCUGACCCUUGUAGAGGACUUGGAUGCGUUCAACAGGUAUCCGUGGGGUUCGGUGUCCUUUGACAAAACCCAAGACAGUCUAUUUUCUGCACCAACAAAGUAUGUGAAAAGCUUGGAAAAUGAAGAGGGAAGAGGGAAGGGGAAAAGUAAGGUAACGGGAACAAGCCGGAGAAAUGAGAAGGGCAAGAAGGAUAAGCAUGGUGAAGCGCAAAGGAGUGGCUGGAGUUUUAAAGGUUUCACGUAUGCUUUCCAGGUACAUGGUAAUAAUGUUCAUGUCAGUUAUGUUUUGUUUUUCUUUAAAACAUAAAUAAUGACUUUUGUCCUGUGAAUUGUGUAGAUUUGGGUAUAUGAAUUAAUUCCAAGAAUGGCGGACCUGAAUUACUGCAAGGUUGUUGAUCCGACUGCUGUCCCGCGUAUUUUGCGAUGGAGAACUACUACGUCUGUUCCAGAGAUGAGAAAGUUGAACAAUUAUUUUUUCCAGAGCAAAGAGGUUUGGAUUGCAGCCCUUAGAACUAUUGAUAAGAUUGAAUGAAAUUAUGAAGUAGAAUGAUUUAAUAUGACUCUUGUCUGUAUUCUGAAACAGUCAGUUCAGUUGCGGGCGCUAUGUCCAAGUGAAGAGGAAAUGAGACAGCCAUAUUGGAGUUGGCCACAGGAUCGCCCUGCUGUUGUCUCGACAGAGUCAAUUCCUUCUUCAUGUGGUGAUCUUGAUGAGUUGAACAAGGUGGUAAGCUUGUUGAGGUCCGAGUUGUUUCAAGUAAAGUGGGAAAAAGACGUCCUUCACUUAAAGGUCAUACGGAUGGAAAAACUGUUGGACCAAUGUUUAGGUCCUCAGUUUGAGCAGGAAGUAAGGAGGGACCUAGCUUUACUGAAACAGAGGACGAAUCGUUGUGUCGUCUCACAUCUAUUUAAGGGAUAUGGGGAAAUGGAUGACAUUCAAUGGGAUGAAGGGCCAAGUAACAGAAAUGAGGGAGAGGAAAAGGAAGAUGAAGGGAUUGAAGGGGGUGAAGGGCCAAAUAAUAGAAAUGAGGGAGCACAUAAGGAAGAGGAGGGGAUUGACGGAGAGGAAAAGGAAGAGGAGGGGAUUGAAGGAGGUGAAGGGCCAAGUAAUAGAAAUGAGGGAGAGGAAAAGGAAGAGGAGGGGAUUGAAGGGGGUGAAGUGCAAGGAAAACCAAGUGAGGUAGAUGAAGGGCAAAGGAAAAGAAGUGAAGGAGAGCAAGUGCAAGUAAAAAGUAGCAAAGGAGAGGAAGCCCAAAGACAGAGCAGUGAGGGAGAGGAAGUGAAAAGAAAAAGCAGUAAGGGAGAGAAACUGCAAAGGAAAAAAAGGGAGGGCAAGGAAGUGAAAACACAAACAAGUGAGGAAAAGGAAGUGCAAAGAAGAUAAUGAAGUUAUGUUGCAUGGGGGUGACACUGGCGAGAGCACGGAGGGGACACUGCUUGAGUUUACUGUCGGGGACAUUGAUUUGGAUGAACCUACAGCUGUGCUAUCUCAGUUGAACGUGUGGUUGAAUGAUAAAGGUAAAGCUCUGGCACAAGGGGUCCAAUUACGGAAAAGGAAGAGGAUCAUUCCUUUGUGGAAGAUCGUUGAAGGCAGUGAAUUGGUUCCAAAAACUGGGGCACAGACAACCGGACUGAAGAUCUUAGACCCAAUGAAGGCGAUUCCGCAUGAUGAUCUGGUGAAAUUGCUGAAACUUUGUUGGGAAUGGCGCCAGGACCCAAAGUAAGUCCCUUGCAAUUAUAAGAUAGAAGCAUGACUGUAUAUAAUUUUUUAUAUACAGUGUUCUAAAACUGUUUUAUAUUCAUAGUUUGGUGAUGCAAUUUGGCAACGUGGAAGCUGAGAUUGAAUUCUUCGCUUCCCUCGUGAAAGCUGAUGGUUGGCUGAAAGGAGAUGUAAGUGUAAUUGAUUAUGCAUUUGUUUUAAUGUACAUACAUUAUGAGAAUGACAAGAAAAACAUGUUGCAGCACAUUGAUUUGGGGUUGUAUCUCAUCCGGAAGCGACAACAACAAUUGGAGACAGAUUCGGUAGAAGUAGCGGACUGGACAACGACCGAUGUUUUUUUUAUGGUAUGUCAUCGGCCUUCACCAAGUGCCGUUAAUAAUUACACAUUUUCCAUACACACACUAGUGGAGGUGUUUAAGCAUUGAUUGUUUUGUAUUUCACAGAAUCACAUUCGUACUUGCUUUGCGGAUAAUAAAAGAAAAAAACAGCAGCUUGGGUGGAAAAUCAGAAAAAGUUUACUAAACGUUGUAAAUGGGAAGGUUCCUCCGUGUGGGUUGGAUUGGCAGACCGUCUAUAAGGUGUAUACCCCAUUUAUGUUGACGAAGUACAAGCAUUGGGUGGCUGUAAUGAUUGAUCUGGUAUUGUGUGAAAUCAAAGUGUACGAUUCAAAGGUUUCACUAAUUCCAGAUGACAUCGUAAAGGAAGAACUCGACCCGCUAUCAAUUACGCUUCCAAAUCUUCUCAACACCAUCGACUUUUAUGAAGAAGGUGUUUAUGCAAACAAUUGCAGCCGAGAUUGGUGGUGUCCGUGGCCAAUAGAGCGUGUGGAUGUUCCACAACAGUCUAAUGAGUAAGCACAACUUGCAAUUUAAUUUUAUUACUUUCAAUUGUCAAUUACGUUAGAAUGUCAUUAGUUUAAUUGAUCGAGUUCUUGUUUUGCUUCAGAGGCGAUUGUGGCAUGUUUGUGUUAAAGUACAUUGAGCUUUUCAGCGCUAAGCUUCCGUUAACUACUUGCACCUCGCACAACAUGCCUUUUUUUCGGUUGAAAUUGGUUGCGGAGAUAACAAGGGGAGAUGCUUACUUCCCAUGAUAUUGGUUGAAGAUGACAAAUGGUACAUGAGAAGGUUUUGGGAAUGUCCAUUCUCAAACUAAUGUAAAUACACAAUAGAGACGUACGGGUCCUUAUCGAAUUCUACCGCUAACUCCUUCAUGACAUUUACAUGUUUGUUAACCAAACUGCAUUGAAUUGGAAUUUUAAGACAGCAUAUGUAAAUUGGGAUUUGAAGAUGGCUUUUUAAGUGUAUUACAUCAUUGCAAAGUGAUAUGUCAUUGUUGAUGCAAGCCACCAUUAAUCGCAAUGUGUUGCAUCAUAAUAGGUGUCUAAACAUGCGAAAGGUUUUCCGCAGCUCAGUAGCAUCAAAGUAGAAACAAAGACAAUAUACACAAAAUCAACAUACAUAUCACAAACGCACCGACAAGCAAUACACACACAACAGACAAACAAUAUACACAAACUUGGCCUGCCAUAUACAGAGAAUAGAUAUGCAAUAUACACACAGUAGACAUGCAAUAUACACACAAUACUCCCUUAACACACACAAUAGACAUGCCCUUGUCAUUGUUGAUGCAAUAUACUUGGGAAUGACAACCAUAGGGAAGUCGUAUUGAAUAGGAUAUUAAACUUAACAGUUGUUCUUCGUACUAAAAGAAAGAAUAAGGUUCGUUUCCCCCCUUCUUUCUUACUUGAGUGAUACUUGUGGCCCCAAUAAACAUCCAAAUGUGGGGCAAUCAUAUUCCAUAUACAUGCAGCAAACUGUCAAUAAACCUUCAAUAAACAUUCAAUAUCGUUUCUAUAACAUGCGAAAUACAUGCAGUUACCAAAUAUUACAAAAUGAGUUUAGGGUCUCAUUGGUGGUGCGUGCAACAUGUCUUGUGCGGGAGAACUUUCACAAUCUUUUAAACCGUGCAGUUAAAUGAUCAUUAAAAGAACAAAUAAAAUGACAAUUGAUACAACUAAUAAAACUAAUACCAAGUCCUUAAUGGACUUCAGCAUGUUCAGCACUCUAGCAUCAUACGUGUCAUCUUGAUGUUCUGCUUCAGCGGAGGUUACAUCAACCCAUUCGAAUCCAUUGCAACUGGUGGCUCCCUAAUUGCAGGCAUCAUAUAUGGAAUAUAAUUCUGUCAGAGUUAGACAUAGGUUUUUUUUCACCCACAUACAUAUUCUUUAAAUUAAAACUUACAUAGGAGGUUAGACACUUCCAGAAUGGCUUCCCUCGAUUUUUGUCUGAUUUUGAAACCCGAAGCACCAUUGUAGCUCCACAAUACUGACACCUCUUUGUUUGAGCAGGAGAUGAAGACGAAGACAUGUUGAAUCUUCUCAGUUGUACCUCUUCUCACUCAGAUCUUCUCACUGAAACCUCUUCGGACUCAUACCUUCUCACUCGUAGUUGUCAUUCAUACCCCUUCACUCAUAACCCUAAACUUGUCACUCAGCUCUCUCUCAUCUCUGCCCAAAUCGAGUUAUAUUUAAUUUUUUGGGGAUCAUUUGGUGGGUUGGUCACGAUGUCGACACCUGUACCGUCUGCAUUGUGACAUCUUUUAGCCCGAAUUUUAUUCAUUUAUUUAUAUUUCAUUAAGGCAACUAGUUGGAUACGAAUCCGUCAUUAGUAGUUCCAUUUUAAUAACAUUACUAGGGGUAGUUGGGUAUGGGAAAAUGAAAAAGUAUAUGAUGGGACCUUCUGUCACUAGUCAGUAAUCCAUCACAUUUGUAUCAAUGAAUUUGAUAGUGGGAUAAACCCAAAAAUGGCUAUGCAAAUAGCCAUUUAAUUAACUUUUUGACUGUCUGACUCUGUAUGCACCGUUAUGACGUUUUCCCUUCUUUUGUCUUAAGUUUUAAUUCACUGGGGUUCAGUUUCUUUCAAAAUGGUCAACUUGGAAAGACCCCAACUGGAAAUACCUUUUCAAAACACUAUAAACAGAGGCUAAAACAAAACGUGUACCCCAAAUAUUAUCAUUUAUCCCCUCUGCCACUCCUCAAAUCGUUCCAUUCCAAAAACUUUUCAAUGAAUUCGAAACACUUCACUACAGUCGGAGGAAAGAGAAGGAAGCAUGUCCAUUUCGAUAUGCCCGAAGCCUUCAUCCCGGAGUCCGCUUGGUUUCAAGUCAUGUUAUACGUGGCAAAAGAAUCAUCGGAAGAUCUCUUCCGUAUGGCAUCUGUGUGCCGAUUGUUCCGAACUUUGGCAAACAUUCCACAAGUGUGGAACACCAUUUCAAUGGCAAAGUACCCAUACGAUCCUAUCUGGUACCGUGCCAGACCUGCGGUCCAGCAUUUCUUGCAACAAUGCAGGGCUUGCGAUAACCCUGAGUCCAUAUUUAGAGAAGUAUUCGAAGGUUUUUUCAGGCACGGUAAGGUGGAAGCGUUGUAUGGGAUGCGCAUUGCAGCCACGGCAGGCCAUAUGGAAGCGGCAUAUGUAGUUGGACUACUUGGUAUGUCCGGAAUUGGUCAGUCAAAAGAGGAUGCAUUACAAUUCUUGUGUUCUUUGAAUCAACGUAACAACAUUGAUAUGAAAGGAACCAGGGAUGCUUUAACAGGAAGAUGUCGCGGAGCAUUUGUUGCAAGACAUAUCGUAGAUAUGUUUGACUAUGGGAAGAUUAAGUUCAAUCGGUGCAGCGCUUGUAACAACAAUGAAUGGUAUUUUGUUAUUCCAGGGUGGCCUAGUGAAGACAAGAUAAAUCCUGCGUUUUGGACUUGCUGCAACCGAUGCAAAUGGCACCGUGAGAGUAUUUUUUGGUGCAAAAUCCUGCGUGAGUAUUUUGUUGGACGGAAUGACGUAUUUUUGCAUUAGUUUUAGUACGAAUUUACGGUUUUGAUGCAUUGUGGACUUGCUUCUCUUCACUUCUAGGUUGGCUGGCUACGUUAUACCUAUCUCAGUUUAAAUGUUGUUCAAAUGUUGGUAUUUUGUCAUAAACCGUUUUAUAUAUAAAUGUAUAAUAUUUAUUAUAUAGCGGAAUGAUUACUUACAUCAUAGACGGCUAGGAAUGACAUUUUACUGACACAGAUAUUUUGCUCACCGACCCCAAUCUUCAUAUUUGGUAAACCAAAAGUCAUGCAUGGAGUAAAUAGGUGUCUUUUCACCAGUGCUUGGGAAUGACAUUUUCCCACUUAGCAUAUCCGAAAGGAUUUGGUUACACGUGUCUUAACCUAGGGUGUUGAACAGUGAAUGACGUAGACUAUUUUUUUGUGUGGAAGGAGUACAAUGGAUGACUUGUAUAUUUCCAUAUUAUGUUUCAAAACAUCCCUUCAACCUAAAAAAUAAAAAAAUUAACAAAUUGAAGAACAGAGAAACCGAUGAGCACUACAAAUGGCCUAUUCGCACGGAAAAUAAAAUUGUUUUCAACAAGUUGGAUGUGGUAUAAUUAACAAAUGGACAGCCUAAAAAGUAAUAUCAUAAUAAUUAUAAUAAUUGUGGAUAAAUAAUAAUAAAAUACUAAUGUAGCAUAACCAUUAAACAGGGAAUGCAGUAGGAAGAUGAAAUCGCAAUAAGUUCGUAGAAAUUUUCGGAUCGUUUUUCUAAUUUUUGUGUAUUUAGUUAUGAAUUUUCCAAGAAAAAAGGUAAUAAAAUAAUAAUUUAGGGUAAAAUGGGAGGAUGUGGCCAUGUUCGGUAACGUACACUUGUGCAAGUAGUCAAAAGUGACGGGCUGAGAUCGCGCCAGGUGUCAUAUUCUUGUUAAUUUUGGAUUCUUUUGUUAAAAAAAUCUUUGAAACUAGGUAAUAAAUAGUAGGAAAAUCGUAAAAAUGGCCCAAAAAUUACUCCGGCCUCCUUUUGACGUCCUAAAACUAGGAGAACCUAUAAAUCAUUCGUCUCGUAAUGAAAUAAUCCAAAUUGUGUUACAUAACUCACUUUUCUCUUAACCCUAAGUAUUGAUGUUUGUUAACUUCAACUUGAAUAACCUACUUCAACAAGCAUCUCCCGUUAAUGUUGGGAAUUAAUUUUACAAAUGCGUAACAAUGAAUCGGAGAAUUCAGCAACGGAGAUGGAGUGUCAAUGAGUUCGUAGCAAUUUUCGGAUAAUUUUUUUAUUUUGUGUGUAAUUAGUUCUGAUUUUUGUAAGGAAAAGUAAUAAAAUAAUAAUUUAGGGUAAAAUGGGAGGGUGUGGCCAUGUUGACUGACGUACACUUGUGCAAGUAGUCAUCAGUGACGGGCUGAGAUCGCGCCAGGUGUCCUCUUGCUAUUAUUUUGGCUUUUUUAGUGCAACAAUCUGUGGACAUAGGUAAUAAAUUCUACGAAAAUCCAAAAAAUGCCCGGAAAAUGAGAAAAUGAAAAUUAUUUGUACAUAACUCACUUUCCUCUUAACCCAAAUUCACGUUAACACGUAUAUUUCGGAUAAUAUUCGAAAUAUAAUUUCUAAUAAUACAAUAUUUAGUUUCACUAUAUACAAUGAUAUGUUUUGUUAUAAUAAUGUACAUAAAAAAUAAUUGCACAUGCUUUGAAGCCAUCAUUGCAACUACGCCUAGAGCUUUGAAGACGUCAGUUCGUAUUCAAUAAGUUGUCCACAUGCAACUGCACCUAGAGUUUUCAACACGUCAGAGGUAUUCAAGAAGUUGUCCACAUGCAACUGCACCUUGAGUUAUUAACACGUCACAGGUAUUCAAUAAGUUGUCCAUUUGACGCCGCAUUGGGAAUCAGUAAUAUAUUUUCAAUCAUGUCAAAUCACAUAAAUAAUGCCAUACUUUUUCUCAAUAACAUCACACAAGUGAAGCAAGUUUAAAACCCUUAGUGAAUAUUUGUCCUAGUCUAUAUGAGUGAUUAUAUAAUCAGUUGCAUAAUAUUUUUUUCACAGUAUAUGUUAACUUUGAGAGGGAUUCCACAAACAUAAAAUAUAAAGAAAGCAAGAAAUAGUAGGAAAUGAACCAGUACAAAACACAAUAUAUAAAGUGUACAUAAUAAUUCCAUAACCUUGUCACAAACGCACUCACAAAAGCUUUUCCAUAAACCUUGUCCUAACAUAUAAUAAAUAAAGGCAACAUUGCAUAUGAUGCAACCAUGUCCAAAUCUGAUAAGUGAUCAAAAACAAAUGGACAUGGCAGCAACAUAUGGCUGAAGUAGAUGGGCUCUUUGCAUCUUCUGUUUUCGUAAUUAAAGACAUCAAAAUAUUAAGGUUUAAAUCUUCCAUAGUAGUUAGCAUCAAAAUAGCUUUGAAGCAGAGUGUAAUCAAAAUUCCAAUUCCACUUAUUUGCCUCUGCUCAAACACGAGAACCAAAAUGGUUACUUCCCUUGCUGAGUAUAUUUGGUGACGUCGGAAACGGUAAUAGAUGACCAAUCAAACCCGGGUACGACGAGUUUUGCAUAGGAUCGGAAGUAGUCGAAUCCAGCUUGCAUCACACGCUUCUUUGACUCCACUGCAUUAGAUGAGUUCUUGUAUUUUUGAACAGCUACACUCCGAAGUCGUUUGUGUCUACGCUUCAUGCGCUGCAACUUCGCCCUAUCCAGAUUGGCCUGCCUUUUGUCAUCUUCAAUUUGGCCUUCCACAAAUUCCAAACGUGCCCUUGCCUUUUGGAUUUCAUCACCAAGUUGAAGAUGCCUGUCCUUCCAAAAAGCAACAACUUUUUCAGACUCAAAACUUCCAACAAAAUGGUCAUUCUGUCUAGCAAUGUGACAUUGCUUGUCUGGUGACUCACUUGCGUGUCGAAGCCGGUCUUUGUUUGGAGGGGUGUUUAUUAUGCUCACAUCAAACUUGGUUGUGCUUAUGCUCAUUCUUUGGGGGGAAUGAGUUUGUUUGCUUCUUCUGAGAGUAUCGGUAGAUGGAGGUGGAGGAGUGAGUUUUGUGUGGAACGAGAUUUUAUAUGAAAGGGGUGAUAGUAAUACCAAGAAAAGGGUUCCCGCCAAAAAAUAUUUGGUUGACAAAGUAGAAAUUAUUUUUUGGUCUGAUACAAUCUAAGUUUAAUCCUAACUAGUUUGGUUGAGUUAACUAAGUAGAUGUCACUUCCAUUGACUUUGUUUCAACCAGUAUCAGUGGUGUCAGGAGAGUGUGAGGUUGACAUGCUUGAAAAGCAAAACCUGACACCUAUUUUUAAAAAAUUCCCGCCAAAAAGUACAUAUGUUGACUACACACAAGCUUUGGUAUGUUGGUCUAUAAACCUAUGUUCCCUUUCUCAAACGAAAUUGCAUAUGCAAUCCUCAUCCUCCCAAAACAAAGAGGAUUAUUCAAGCAUGUCAACCUCUUCAGGCGCCAACAACACAAUCGAAGAUGACAAAUUGGAGUGGCAGGUUCUAUUUCCACAUUGUACUCGCCGACCCCUUCCUUUUUCAACAUCAUUUGGGAGUGAGGGGGACUCCGAUGAUCCAUUACAGGCAAUACAUGCAGUCAGUGGCAAGCUGGAUUAUAAUUCCAGACUGAUCAAUUCAUGGCACGAGAAAUGUGUUGAAGACGAGGCAAUUUUGGCUGAUCUUAACAUUAGGGUGAACAAAGCGUUAUCCCAAAAGAACAAGUACUUGAAGCUGAGUCAUAGCAGGAAGCUGAAAGCUGAGGAGUUGGAUACAGUAAUGAAUGAUGAAAUCAAAGGUUGUUUGAUGAACCAUAUGCGAUGCGAAGAGCACCAUACUGAACUGGAGUUGGCAUUCAACGAAGGAUUCGACAAAUUCCGAGCAUUUGCGGCAACUACUCAUACAAGUUAUGAUUGGAACUAUGUGUCCCCUGAUGCUGUGAGAGAGAUACUAGACGAUGGGGGUGACAUGAAUGAGCAUAAGCACGUCAAAGCUGCUUGGAAGAAGCCGACCGAUACGACUAAGUGAUUGCGGCUACCGCUGUUCAGUUGGUUGAGGGUGACCGUGGUAUUGCACAUAUACUCCCUUAAUGUCAUUAUCUAACUUAAAAUAACACAAAUAUCAGUUUCAUUUGCUUCAUAUAUAAUUAUUGGGACUAUGUAUUGCAAGUCAUCAUGUGUUAUAAUGUCUAACAUUAUAUUUUGCAAAUAUGGAAAUAUUAUUCAAGAAGCAGUCAAUAUCACAGAAAGCCGGGAAUCAGUAAAUGCUCCUUAUCAUGUCCAUUUACAUUAAAGAGCUGGAGUACUAAUGUGUUCAAAAAAAUCUGACACGUGAGUCAUAAGUAACAUAACAUGUGCUAUACAUUGUUUACUGAAUGGUUUAUGGUUUAUUUAUAUAUAAUAAAAUUCCAAAUAUUGCUGAAGAUUUAUUUCGUGUAUAUCACUAGGGAUAUGAGUGGCCAUAAGCAUGUGAGACCUGCUAAGAAGAAGCUGACGAGUACGACCCAGUGAUUGUGGCUACCGUUGUUCAGUUGGUUGGGGAGAUCGUGGUAUUGCUAUGAGGAAGCACAUAAUAUGUUUUGCAAUCAAAUGUUCUUUUGUGUGUGGAAUUAUGAGUAUUUAUGUAAGUUAGUGUACCCUUUAAUAUUUUUCACCUAUGUAUCGAAAUGUAAUUAGCUGCAAUGUUAUGUUUUUUUUUUACCCGCUGGUUUCUAUUUGCUCUGUUCCAACAAAGUGCUUCGAGUAUCCUUCACUUACAAAAGUGUACAAAAUCGUGCCCCUAAUAACCAGUCGGAAAAAGUGGCUGCUGCUGGAAAUGAUUACUGGUAAUGGAAACAACAGCUGGCUGCUGUAAUUGCUGCAUUACCCUGAGGAAUUGAAAAAUGAAUCUCUGUUAAAACAAAUUUCACCCUAAACUGCCCAUUUUACAUGGUAAGAGUCAUUGCUUCUUCACAUAACUACAAAUUUCAAACUUGAUCAAAUGUCUAUGAAAAUUUAUAAAUAGGGAGAAGACGUAAAAUUAACAUGUCUCCAAAUGUCUUGGAAGAAUGAAACCAAGCAAAUUUUCAUUUCAAUUACCAGUGGACAUAGUAAGAGCUCAUCGGUGGACAUGAACAAAAACACAAUAACAUUCAAAAACUGAAUCUAUAAAACUUCACUUGAUCAUUAAUCUUCAUAACAACCACAUUUCGUCUAAUACAAAUAUCAAUCAUUCAGUUGGUCUGUGCAUCCUGUCAAAAUCGUCGAAUAAUGGGUCACUACGAUGUAUUGGAGUUGAUUCGUCAUUGUUCGACGGUGAUGUCCUGCAUAAACAUCAAACACAAGCACAUAAAAAUUUUACCUUUUCAUAUUUUAGAUAUUAUUACAAAUAGUGGUAGCAUCUUACGGUGUGUUCAAGGCUGGGCAUUGUCUUCUAUCAUGACCAAUGUGUCCACACUCCAGACAGUGUCUAAUCCCUCGCUUUAUUGCCUUUUCCUUUGCUCCCGUUAUUCCUUUCGACCUUCCUUUGCACCUCACUCUCUUAGGGUCUUUCAUAUAUUGUGUUUGAGAGCUGGACCCUCCAACUUCGUUAUUACUUGGUCCAUCCUUCAGCAACUUCAACUUCACCUGCAAACUUUUUAGAGUCUCUGACAGUAGCUCACAUCCUUCUUCACUCAUUAAUGCAUCCUCAACCACAUCUGAAGCAAGUCGAGACAUUGUACUCCGCUUUAUUAGAAGGCCAGGAUCUGCACAGUCUUUAAUUUCGUUGCCAUUUGCAUCUGACACCAAUCCACAUUUCGCAGUUUUCUUCCACCUCUUCAAAAUAUAUUUAUCGGGCAUAUAUUCAAUCUGGUCCCUUCUGAACAAUGCUAGGAUGUGCUUGCAAAUAAUUCCAACAAAUACAAAUCUUUUGCAGCUACACGAUGCGUGGUCAGAAUCUUUGACAUAUACGACUUCUGCCACUCUUGUUUCCCAAUUUUUCCUUUCGCUCACGUUGAACACAACUUUACACGCAUCCUCUGUUUUGAGCUCUAGGAAACAUGCUGUACUUUGUAUUAGUUCUUGCUCAAACUUUUGAAACAUUGUCCUUGUGUACAAGGUAGCCAUUUGUUUGUUCAUUGGCAUCGGUAGAAGACAUUGAGCCACUUCAAAUGCAUCUACGUGAUCAGCAACUAACUCUUUUUCACGUUGAUGAGAAAGUGCCCUCUCAAAUCGUAUUAUGAAAUCCAUCCACGAAUUUCUCCUUGAUAUGUAUUGCUUGAAAAAACCAUGAGAACCUUCCGCUCUUUGGCUGCUUGACAUUCCAGCGGCAAAAAAUUGUCGUGCGUAGGCUGGAACCCAAGAUUCCCUUAAAUCAAACAUUGAACUUAGCCAUGGAUGGUCAGUCAAACCAGCCUUUGUAACCACAAUAUUCCAUUUUGCAUCAAACUCAUCCUUAUUGUCAGUAUCCCAUAUGGCUUUCUGAAAUUCAGGCCAAUACUCCUUAUAAGCGUCACGUGGUAACUUAACAGAGAACUUUGAUGUGAUGUGCCAUAUGCAAAGUCGAUGAAAUGUACUCGGGAAGGCUAUUGAAAUCGCUAUGGCCAUUGCCGCAUCUUGAUCUGUAAUGAUCGUUUUAGGUUCCCCACCUGGCAUGGCUUUCUUAAACUCCUCAAACAUCCAAACAAACGACUCAGUCGUUUCCUUGCUCAAAAAUGCGCAUGCUAAGACAAUUGUCUGACCAUGGUUAUUAACUCCCAACAUUGGUGCAAAUGUCAAGUCGUAUCGAUUCGUGUUGAAUGUGGUAUCGAAUACAACAACAUCUCCAUAAAACCCAUACGCCCGUCUAGAAGUUGCAUCUGCCCAAAAACAUCGACUAAACCUGUCAUGCCCAUCUCCCUCAAUCUUGAAAUAAAAAGCCUCAUUUUUUUUCUGUUCAGCCAUAAAAUACUCGGUCACUAGUUCAACAUCGUGGUUCCUCAGCUUCCCAUUCACACUACAUUCAAGAUUGUAGAUAUCUUUUUUGAUAAAACCGAUUUUAUCCAUUCCUCCGGAUUGCACCUCGAAUAUACUUACCUUCUGAUGAAUGGGAAUAUUAACUGAACCCAACUGUUUUGUGAGUACUUUUGUAGAAUCUGAAAUAUGACGGUGUGAUCUCAAUAAAUGCAUUCUUUCUGAGGGUGUCAUCUUAUGAUUGUGUCCCUCUGCAAAAAGAGAAAUGGUAUACUUCUUGCUCCCAUUUGUCUUCACAACCACAAUCUUUGCUUUGCAAUUGCAUCUACUUAUUCCCCGUUGUCUUUUUCUCUCCCGAGUUUCAUCCUUCCUGUAUGCACCUUGUUUGCAACAUACAAAUUCUUUCCUCAAAAUCUCUUUCUUAUUUUUCCCCCAAAAGCUAGAAUGAAGUCGAAUACCAAAGCCAGCCAAGAAUGCAUAUCUAUUAUAGAAAUUGUAAACGAGGUCAAGCGAGUCAAACUUCAUCCCAACUGCUGGUGUUUCCUCAUUUCUUACUUCAGGAAUAUAAACCCUCCCAUUAGCUGUUGCACAUUCAUCACUCUCUGAGCCCCCAGACAUUUUAUCUACGUAUAUUAUUGAUCCACUUCUAUAUUACUGCAUAGCAAUUAUUCAUUCAUUAAUCAGUCAUUACUGCAUUGUACAACAUAUCAAUGCAUUCCACUUACACAAAACAUUGCCCAAAUUGACACAAAAUACGCAUAGCCUAACUUCCGAUUACACAAAACACAAGCAAAAUUUCAUACAAGUUACGUCAUCUCUUGGGAAAUAAUCUGGUCAAAAUAACAUUAGAACCAACAUGUUCAACUAAGAACACAAAUGUAAUUCAAACCACCAAUUACAGAACUUCACCCAAUAUCCUCUCCAACUGCUUACUCCUAACGUCAUUAAGCCUAAGUUUAGGUUCUUUUACCUACAUUUCAUAAUUUUCCACCCCGACCAACAACAAUGAACUAAGUAUAUUGAAUAUUCAUAAGAAAAUGACACAUUAUUGAUGCCACAAAUGACGAAUUUCCCACCCUCACAAAAAAUAAACCUAACCCAAUAAAAUCAAUCCAGCAAGUGAACUUACCUCUCAAAAUCAAUCGGGAGCUCUGAAGUCAGUCAGCUUGAAAGACUGUGGUGGACAUUAGAGAAGACUCUUUGGUAUUUGAGACUCCAUCUCUACCAAAAUUGAGGAACAACUGCUGCUGCGGCUUCUAGCUACAAAAACAGAUAAGUUACUUUGCUUUCAUCUGGAAUCUUGUCAGCUGAAUGAAAAGAGAAGGGGUUUUCACUUGAGCCAUAGAAUCAAAACAGGGCAACAGCUAGGUAAGAGCCAUUCUUCGUAAUACCCAGGAUACUAUAGAUCGCAGGCCUCCCAACGAGCUAAUGACAGUCGAGUGACUAUAAGGUUUGGGAGAUUUGGAUCCUUCUAAUUGUGGGUUUGCUUUACAUUCAAAAAGAAAGGCUUCAGUUUUUCACAGAGAGGGAAAGAGGGGAACAACUGAAGUUGGGUUUCUAACGGGUUAGAUUUCAACCCGAUUCUACAUGCACCCUCUUUUAAAAACUCACCGUUGGAUGAAAUCCAACGGCUCUUACAUACCCCUCAAAAACACCCCUUAUAACUUCCCACUCACUAUAGAAGCUCCCAGCGCAAAGACGGAGAGUUGGGAAUAAAGGGUCUAUGUGGGAUUCGUGGGCCCACGACGGGAGAGCUGCUCACACAUUGGACAGUUUGGGCCUUCGGCCUCUAUAUCUAUUAUUGCACGUGUUUGAAUUUGAUAAUAUAUACAUGUGUAAAUAAUUUGAACGAGGCAUGUGAUUGAAUUUGAGGAGUUCAUCAAAUAGAGGGAGAAAAGAUAUAGACGACAAAGGAUUAAUGUGAAUGACUAAUCUAUUACAAUGUGAAAAUUAGGGAAGAUGAUGAAUAGUUAAAUCCAUAUCAUUCUUCCAAAUCUAAUAAAUCCUAUCAUAUAGAUCUUUUAAAAUCUAAAAGUAAAAAAUCUUGAUUAUAGAAAUCGAUAUAUAAAAUCUUAUAAGUCAUUAUAUUAUGCUUAAAUCUACUAGACUUUUUUUUAAAUCCCUAAAUAGUCUUUUAAAAUCUCAAUCGACUACACCCCCUAAAACUGCAGUAUGUAUUCAAACGGUUGCGUCGUAAAUAGGAGAAGGGCACCGAUGCAGCCCAAUAAGACUCUCAUAACAAGUCCAGAUAAGCCAAUUUUUAGCUCCACUUUCAUGAUUCACAGCUGACCUAGAAUUAACACAGAACUGGACUGAUAGUUACGAUCAUUUAAACAGAGAAAGCAAAGCUACAAAUAAAGGGUUCUAUGGUGGAGUGGGGCUCAUCUUACCAAAAUAGCUACACCAGUAAUGACAAGUGCUAUGUGAAUCAAAAGAUGUAGCAUAUCCAAAAGCUCUAGGAAUUAAUAGAAAAGCUUGGUAGGCCCUGAGGUAUAUCUCCUACCUAAUUUCUAAACAACAGCCGAGAUCCAACUCGAUAAUAUCUUUGAAUGUAUUUCCAACUCCAUCCUUAUUCUUCAAACCUUGGUCAUUCAUGCCUAGUUUAUUGUUUAGCAAGUCUUUAAAUUAAAAUAAAGUAUACUAAACCCAUAAGAGAAGAACAAAAUGUAUUGAGAUAAAACCACCUUUUACUUGAGACAUUUUCUAAAUAGAUGGAUUGGAUUCCCACAUCUUCAAGCAUAAGAAUAUAAUAGACAAUGACAAUGCAAAUUGCAAUUCAUUUGCGAUAAAAACAAUACAAGUUGUAGGCAUCUAAAUGAUAGGAUGCAUGGCUAAACAAAAACAUGCCCCAUUUUUGGCAAACAACAUAAAAAAAGCACUCCUUUCUCUUUUGCUUAACUCUAGAGUACAAUUCAUUCUCUAUUCUCUACUCUUUUGGAGGACAAGUCUUGAAAGAAAUAUAACCAGUAUAAGGGUCGCACGUAAAAGAAGAAUUCAAAUCGCGUUGCGAGCACAUAUCAGGCCAGUGGUCAUAUGACUUUCCACAGAUUCUACAAUCCAUGAGGAUUGCACGUCCACGGGUAUGGCCGCAUUGGGCACAACAUGAGAAACCUACAACCGCAGACAACACACUGAACCGAACAGCCCUUGCCAAGAAUUGCAUUCUUUGGGACAUCAUACUUGUAGGGGCACAGUUGUGUAAUGUGAUCAUCCACCUUUAAACAAUACCUACAUUCAUCUGUGUGCAAGUUGUAGACCCAUUGUUAUAUACAACAAAAGCAAUAAAAAUAAUUACUAGUUGUCUCACGUUCAAAGCCACUUGACAACUCGGUAGUGUGUAAUUUAUACUGUGGCGUGUAUCAUAAAUAAAAAUAAAUAACAAACAUACCAGCAGGAACAUGAGGGUUCGGUUCCUUCAAAAAGUCAACAUUUGGUGCUGCGUGGCUAGAGAAUAAGCUAUAAGUUCUUCAAACCUCCUUUGUUCUGCAGUUUUUGGUUGUUUAGGCUUAUCUGUUUGCAUGCAAUUAUAUUGUUAAAUACAAAAGUAAGAAAGAAAAGAAUAGGUUGUAACGUCAAAGAAGUUAGAAGGAAUGACAUCGAUCCUAAAUAUUGGGUAGUAUUCAUUGUGCACACACAAAAUAACUUGACUGGAAAAGAUAAAACUGUUUCAAAAUUUUGGGAUAAUACAUACAUCCUCUAAUUACAUCAACAAAAGUAAAACGAAAACAACAGUUUCUUUUUUCCAAAACCACACAAAGCCCAAUAGUAAAAGGGACAAAAAAUUUGUUGAGAAAUACACUCAAUUAACCAAAUGGACCAACGAUCUUCCUCUAAAAGUAUUUUCAAAUAAAAUAGAAUUAGGAUAUUAUACGAAACGAAAUUCUACCACAUAAACCAAAAAAACAUACGUACUCAUUGACUUCAAAAUUGAAUUCGAAAGUGACUUAUCGGUGGAAUAGCCAACCCUCUCUUGCGGGGAAAGAUCCUUUCCUCCGCCGCCGUCCUUAUCGAGCACCACCGAUUGGCCAGCCACAUUUGGCGAGCAAAGGAGAAGGUCCUUUGCAGAGCAGUUGUUAUCAACCACCAUGUGGGAAAGAGAUUGGGAGGGAUUUUAGGGUUAAGGGCUUGGCGUAGAGAUGAGAUUAAAAAGAUGGGUGUUUGCUUAUAGAUACUUAUAAUGCUGAACCACUUGAAGGAAUUAACGAUGUUUCUCAGCAAAAGCUUGUUCUUGGAGGAGAAGUAUGCAUGUGGGGUGAGACAGCUGAUACAUCAGAUGUUCAGCAAACUAUUUGGCCUCGAGCUGCUGCUGCGGCAGGUAAGUAGUGAAUUAAGUUGAUUUAGAGUCAAUCUCCCAGGUGUGAUAUGUAUAUAAGCAAGUACUUGGUACUGUGCGUUUUCUGGGUACUCUUCAGCUUGAGACUGAACGCCAUUUUGUUUUCCCUGUAGAGCGUUUGUGGAGCAGGAGGGAGGCAACAUCUGCGCGAAAUGGUAAUUUAACUGCACUGCCUCGGCUACAAUACUUCAGAUGCCUCUUGAAUAGACGUGGAGUUCAAGCUGCUCCAGUGACCAACUUGAUUGCUCGAAGUCCUCCAAUUUGGUCCGCGGGUCAUGCUAUGACCAAUAAUACUUCGAUUAUCAUAUUAGGUGAUUUCAUUAGUCUUAAACUUCCCUUCCAAUGCUAUACAGAUAAAUGCAAGCGUUCUAGAGAUUUUGCAUAUCUGUUGUUCAAACAUGCAUGCCUAUUUAUGAUAGCUAUUAUUGUCAGAAUUUACGGUUUAGAAUCUUUUGCUUCUUGAUGUUGAGAUCAUUGGCUGGGAAAUAUUAUGGAUCACAGAGUAUGGUCAUUGUAUUUGGAAAAAUGGGUUGUUGUUGCCUUUUUUUUUGUUGAGAAAUUCUAUAGUUGCAUUCAUAAUUCAGUCAAAAAAGUCACUAGUCACAAAGGGCCAAUACAAACUAGCCACAAAAGAGCUAUUACAAUAACGGAGCGGUCUAAUAUCAAAAUUAAGAAAAUCAGGUAUGUCUCCACUAACGAUCAGCCAAGAUCGAAGAAACUCUGGUAUAGACAUCCCAACUAAGAUUGCAAACUUAGAAUAAUAAAAAAAAGAUAAAGCUUGAAAAAAUCAAGCCAUAACAAUACAAAUAAAACUCUCACCAAGGAGAGAUGAAAAGCUCUCACAAAGUAGAGGUGAAAACUACACAGAGAACAUAAAGAGUCUUUGCAACUUAUUCCAAACAUAAAUAAAUUGCAAAAAAGAUGGUGGUAGAGAUCCGACGCCGAAAUGCAGGUGAAGAUCUGAUGCUGAGCCGCAGCCGCCUAUAAUGGUUAGAUGAAAAUUAUAACAAAACUAAGACAAAUAGGGAAAACCCUUUGUCUCUGAAAAUGGGGAAAGAGUUGAAAGGAGGAAGAGAGGAAGAGAAGAGGGGAGAGGGGAGAGGAGGGAAGAAUAAUGGCUUCCUCCCCCCUCAAAGUGGAAAAGGCUCUAAGAGUGUUUUUUGGGAGAAAAGAGGCUAGAGUUUCCCAAGAAAAUGGGUUGUUGUUGCCUAGGCGUUCCUUUUUUAUAUAUAAUUAUUUAGUACUUUAAUUUAAAUUUCUACCAAAAUCAUGCAAAAUAAAAGGAUAUGUAAAUUAUAAAGUACCAUAAUUGAUAUAAAGUCUAACACGGCCGUCUUCCAACCCCUCUCUCUCUCUCUCUCUCAGACGUAAGUUAUAACCCGCGACAUCUCUCUCUCUCUCUUUCUCUCUCUCUCACACACACACAUAGUACCAUUGUCAUCUCGUCCUUGGAGAUUCCAAAAUGGCCGUUUUUUUUCUGGGUCAGACCUGCCCAGACCCCCUAAAUUCGGUAUACAUUCAAAUACUGGGGUCAUAAAUAGGAGGGCGCGGGUGCGGGUGCAUCCCAUUAAGACUCCCAUAACAAGUCCAGAUAAGCAAGUUUUAGCUCCACUCUCAUGAUUCACAGCUGACCUAGAGAAAGAACCUGCACAAAGCCAAAAAGUGUAAAGACAAUUGUUACCCAAAAAAAAACAAAAAGAGAGUAUAAAGACAAUGCCCACGGAUUCCUACAGUUAAAAAUGAACACAGGACUGGACUGAUAGUUACGAUCAUUUAAACAGAGAAAGCAAAGCUACAAGUAAAAGGUUCUAUGGUGGAGUGGUGUGAAUCAAAGAUGUAGCAUAUCCAAAAGCUCUAGGAAUAGAAAAGCUUGGUAGGCCCUGAGGUAUAUCUCCUACCUAAUUUCUAACCAACAGCCGAGAUCCUUUAGUAACCUACUAUUAACCUAAAGUGAUGUCAAAUUCUGCUAUGAGAAAAGAGACAAUAUUACAUGAAAACAGAAGGAAUCAUACAACGGGAAAAAUAGCAACAUUCAUAGUUAUUCGAUUUUAAAACAGGCACCGGAUUAGAUUCUGACUGUUUAGGAAACUCUAUCAUUCUAUAUAAUAGGCCUGCAUUUCAACCAUUCUAUGCCAAGCUCACCAUGCUCUCUUUACCAUCCCAAUGUUAAAACAGAGCUUGCAAAACUCUAUAUUGGUUAUUUUAACAAUGCGAGAACGAUAUGUAGUGAAUCUAAGAGAAAAUGAAUAACUGACUAGGAAAUUUCUUCUUCUUCUUUAUUUUCUUUUCUUCUCGAGCUAAGAUUUUAGACAGGUGCAUUCCAUCUAGAAUCUAUUACUAAAGCAAGUAUAAACAGAACAUCCGAAAGUAUAAUCACUACAUUUUCAAAACCUACACACAUGGUUGAGUUACACUGGGAUUCUGAUUGUUGAUCAUGGCCACAUAUAUUUGACAAUUAGAAUCACAAGCUGAAAACCAAGAAAUUUAAUAUUCCAUAUUAUUUAUCCGAUUACAGAUCAUUAUUAGGAAAAAGAAUAUUGAUAAGCACGGCUAGUCAUGAAAGCGAUACCCCAAAAAUGAAGAUAAUAUACGAAAGUUAUACCACUUGGGCAUGCAAGCAAAGCAUACCCCAUCAGCUCCAGAAAAAAUAUUUUGUGGUAUGAUCGAUAUAGGAUUAUAUAACUCCUGAUUCUGGAUUAGCUACGUAAAAUUACCAACAACAUCAUCAUCAAGAAGUUUGUAUAAACUGCUGAGUGGCAUAAGUUUCAAACUCAUAUGACAACUUGUUCUGAAAGUUGGAAGUUUUAAAUAUGUACUUCGAUUUUAGUAUAUAACUUUUAUUUCAACUACUUCCAGAGGUUGUAGAAGCAUCACUUGGCCAGGCACUGCGAUAAUAUCUUUGAAUGUAUUUCCAACUCCAUCCUUAUUCUUCAAACCCUGGUCAUUCAUGCCUAGUUUAUUGUUUAGCAAGUCUUUAAAUUAAAAUAAAGUACACUAACCCCAUAAGAGAAGAACAAAAUGUAUUGAGAUAAAAACCACCUUUUACUUGAGACAUUUUCUAAAUGGAUGGAUUGGAUUCCCACAUCUUCAAGCAUAAGAAUAUAAUAGACAAUGACAAUGCAAAUUGCAAUUCAUUUGCGAUAAAAACAAUACAAGUUGUAGGCAUCUAAAUGAUAGGAUGCAUGGCUAAACAAAAACAUGCCCCAUUUUUGGCAAACAACAUAAAAAAAGCACUCCUUUCUCUUUUGCUUAACUCUAGAGUACAAUUCAUUCUCUAUUCUCUACUCUUUUGGAGGACAAGUCUAGAAAGAAAUAUAACCAGUAUAAGGGUCGCACGUAAAAGAAGAAUUCAAAUCGCGUUGCGGGCACAUAUCAGGCCAGUGGUCAUAUGACUUCCCACAGAUUCUACAAUCCAUGAGGAUUGCACGUCCACGGGUAUGGCCGCAUUGGGCACAACAUGAGUCUCUAAACCUACAUCCGCAGACAACACACUGAACCGAACAGCCCUUGCCAAGAAUUGCAUUCUUUGGGACAUCAUACUUGUAGGGGCACAGUUGUGUAAUGUGAUCAUCCACCUUUAAACAAUACCUACAUUCACCUGUGUGCAAUUUGUAGACCCAUUGUUAUAUACAACAAAAGCAAUAAAAAUAAUUACUUAAUUAUUUAAUUUUUUUGGUUAAUGAAGAAGAUAAAUCCCAAAAAUAAGCAUUGUGAGC